rnacentral:rRNA from 1 species
UUGACCUCAAAUCAGGUGGGACUACCCGCUGAACUUAAGCAUAUCAAAAACGGGGAAGGAA